GAGAAGGAGCCUGAGAAACGGCUACUACAUCCAAGGAAGGCAGCAGGCGCGCAAAUUACCCAAUCCCGACACGGGGAGGUAGUGACAAUAAAUACUGAUACAGGGCUCUUUCGGGUCUUGUAAUCGGAAUGAGUACAAUUUAAAUCCCUUAACGAGGAACAAUUGGAGGGCAAGUCUGGUGCCAGCAGCCGCGGUAAUUCCAGCUCCAAUAGCGUAUAUUAAAGUUGUUGAGGUUAAAAAGCUCGUAGUUGAACCUUGGGCCUAGCCGGCCGGUCCGCCUCACCGCGUGCACUGGCUCGGCUGGGUCUUUCCUUCUGGAGAACCUCAUGCCCUUCACUGGGUGUGAUGGGGAACCAGGACUUUUACUCUGAACAAAUUAGAUCGCUUAAAGAAGGCCUAUGCUCGAAUACAUUAGCAUGGAAUAAUAGAAUAGGACGUGUGGUUCUAUUUUGUUGGUUUCUAGGACCGCCGUAAUGAUUAAUAGGGACAGUCGGGGGCAUCAGUAUUCAAUUGUCAGAGGUGAAAUUCUUGGAUUUAUUGAAGACUAACUACUGCGAAAGCAUUUGCCAAGGAUGUUUUCAUUAAUCAGGAACGAAAGUUAGGGGAUCGAAGACGAUCAGAUACCGUCGUAGUCUUAACCAUAAACUAUGCCGAUUAGGGAUCGGACGGCGUUAUUUUUUGACCCG
rnacentral:rRNA from 1 species